UGGGGAAUCUUGCACAAUGGGGGAAACCCUGAUGCAGCGACGCCGCGUGAGUGAUGAAGCCCUUCGGGGUGUAAAGCUCUUUCGACGGGAACGAUAAUGACGGUACCCGGAGAAGAAGCUGCGGCUAACUACGUGCCAGCAGCCGCGGUAAUACGUAGGCAGCAAACGUUGUUCGGAAUUACUGGGCGUAAAGAGUGUGUAGGCGGUUCUGUAAGUUUGGUGUGAAAUCUCCCGGCUUAACUGGGAGGGUGCGCCGAAAACUGCAGGGCUUGAGUGCUGGAGAGGAGAGCGGAAUUCCUGGUGUAGCGGUGAAAUGCGUAGAUAUCAGGAGGAACACCGGCGGUGUAGACGGCUCUCUGGACAGUAACUGACGCUGAUACACGAAAGCGUGGGGAGCAAACAG
rnacentral:rRNA from 1 species